rnacentral:rRNA from 1 species
GAUGAACGCUGGCGGCGUGCCUAAUACAUGCAAGUCGAGCGAACGGACGAGAAGCUUGCUUUUCUGAUGUUAGCGGCGGACGGGUGAGUAACACGUGGAUAACCUACCUAUAAGACUGGGAUAACUUCGGGAAACCGGAGCUAAUACCGGAUAAUAUUUUGAACCGCAUGGUUCAAAAGUGAAAGACGGUCUUGCUGUCACUUAUAGAUGGAUCCGCGCUGCAUUAGCUAGUUGGUAAGGUAACGGCUUACCAAGGCAACGAUGCAUAGCCGAACUGAGAGGGGGAUCGGCGACACUGGAACGGAGACACGGUCCAGACUCCUACGAGAGGCAGCAGUAGGGAAUCUGCCGCAAUGGGCGAAAGCCUGACGGAGCAACGCCGCGUGAGUGAUGGAGAUCUUCGGAUCGUAAUGCCCUGUUAUUAGUGAAUAACAUCUGUGUGAGUAACAGUGCACAUCGUGACGGUACCUAAUGAGAAAGCCACGGCUAACUACGUG